rnacentral:tRNA from 1 species
GCGUUGGGGCCAGACACGCCUAGGACAAGGGGGAGGACUUAAGAUCCUCUGGCGUAGGCCUUCGUGGGUUCAAAUCCCACCCCCCGCACCA